CUGAUCUAUAAUUUUAGUUACUUUUAUCAAAAGUUGUCUGAUGACGCAGAGGAGGGGCAUUUGCUUGCACUGUACUUGCUUGUACUUCUACUUGCCACCAGCAACCGGCUUUGCACUGGUGACAAUAGCGGAUAUUAAGGAGCUCCUGUCGGACCUAUAAUAAAAAGAUCUCAGUUGAUAUAGCCACCAUAUGUUGAGAUCUAUGUGGCCUGACUAGCCGACAUAGUAUUGGACGGCACAUACUGCACUAACAUGCAGCAGAUUAUAUUGCUACAACAAGCAGUUAAAGAGUUGCAACAGCAGAACCAAACAUAUGAGCACAAAUUUGCUGCCCAGGAGAAUAGGCAAUGUCAGAAAAACAUGAAAAUCAGGGGGCCUCAGAGAAUAUUCUGGAGGCCGAGUUGCCACACUUUGCAAGGCGCCUCCUCGUGGCCUUGCGGACAACAAAACAGGCCAAGACACCACCUACAGCUCCAAAGGACCUGGUGGUCCAAUUUCAAAACCAUAAAGAUAAAGCGGCAGUCAUCUUAUCUCUUCGAAGAAAUGUCAUUGGCCUUCCAUGCAGACCUCUCCAAUGGCAUGUUGGCAUGGACACUGUCUCUUCGAUCACUUACCUCCCUCCUGUGAAAAAACAACAUCCACUACUGCUGGAGCCUCUCACACACCUUGAUAGUUUCUCAGGGGGACUCAACGUACACGAUCUUGAAGUAGCCGCAACGACUCUACAAAACUUGGCCCUUCUCUUGAUUCGCUUGGUCCACCUGAACAGGCUGCAGCGACCAUGAGUUCUCAUGACUGGGACCCGGCGCACACACCAGAGUCCGUGCCAAGACCAUCCACUUCGGACUCUUAUGCCACAGUCUCAACUUGAACACUAGCUGGAAUACACCAGAAUAGCCCAUCUGGAGAACCACACAAUUUAAAAGUUUUACUUCCACUUGUUUUUUUUUUCCGCUUUAACAUUCUAUUAUCACUUGUAGCAUAG